GGCCCUGUAGCUCAGCCUGGAAGAGCGGCUGCCUUCUAAGCAGUAGGUCGGGGGUUCAAAUCCUCCCAGGGCCG
rnacentral:tRNA from 1 species